GAUGAAGAACGUAGCGAAAUGCGAUAAGCAAUGUGAAUUGCAGAAUUCAGUGAAUCAUCGAAUCUUUGAACGCACCUUGCACUCCUUGGUAUUCCGAGGAGUACGCCUGUUCGAGUGUUAUGAAGCUCUCAAAACGCAAUUGGCUUAAAACCUGAUUGUUGUUUUGGAUUUGAACUUUGCCGUGUUAUAACGGCUGGUUUUAAAAGUAUUAGCUGGUACUAGAACGAAUUGGUUCUACUCAACGUGAUAAUUAUCUGAUCGUUGAGGACAUUCCUUUCACGAGGAAUGGCCAUAGUAAAUUCAAUGGACUGCUUCUAAUCUGGCUUUAAUUCUUUAUUGGAUUAACCACUUUUCAAAUCUGACCUCGAAUCAGGUGGGACUACCCGCUGAACUUAAGCAUAUCAAUAAGCGGAGGA
rnacentral:misc_RNA from 1 species